UUGAACAUGAUGUGAUUACUUAUCAUCCGUGUUUCAAAUGAACUUUACGUUGAUUAGAACUUGAUAACCUGAUUAU
rnacentral:snoRNA from 1 species